AUCUCUCACUGCCUCCAUUUCUUCCCCUUCUAAUUGCCAGGAGGUGAAGAAAUGGAGGCAGUGAGAGAU